rnacentral:rRNA from 1 species
GACGAACGCUGGCGGCGUGCUUAGCACAUGCAAGUCGAACGGAAAGGCCUGCUUUCCCUUGUGGAUUGCGGGUACUCGAGUGGCGAACGGGUGAGUAACACGUGAGUGAUCUGCCCCCAACUUGGGUAUAAGCCUGGGAAACUGGGUCUAAUUCCCGAUAGGACUGCAGGGCGGUGCCUGUGGUGGAAAACGAUUUUCUAGUGGUUGGGGAUGAGCUCGCGGCCUAUCAGCUUGUUGGUGGGGUAAUGGCCUACCAAGGCGGCGACGGGUAGCCGGCCUGAGAGGGUGGACGGCCACAUUGGGACUGAGAUACGGCCCAGACUCCUACGGGAGGCAGCAGUGGGGAAUAUUGCACAAUGGGCGGAAGCCUGAUGCAGCGACGCCGCGUGGGGGAUGACGGCCUUCGGGUUGUAAACUCCUUUCGACCGCGAGGAAGCCACCUGGUUGGAAGGGUGGUGACGGUAGUGGUAGAAGAAGCACCGGCUAACUACGUG